AUUGAACGCUAGCGGGAUGCCUUACACAUGCAAGUCGAACGGAGUGGCGAACGGGUGAGUAAUGUAUCGGAACGUGCCCAGUAGAGGGGGAUAACUACGAGAAAGCGUAGCUAAUACCGCAUACUAUUGGAGCGGCCGAUGUCGGAUUAGCUAGUUUGUGGGGUAAAGGCUCACCAGGGCGACGCUCCGUAGCUGGUGUGAGAGGACGACCAGCCCCACUGGGAUUGAGACACGGCCCAGACUCCUACGGGAGGCAGCAGUGGGGAAUUUUGGACAAUGGGGGAAACCCUGAUCCAGCCAUCCCGCGUGUGUGAUGAAGGCCUUCGGGUUGUAAAGCACUUUUGGCAGGAAAGCGGUACCUGCAGAAUAAGGAUCGGCUAACUCCGUGCCAGCAGCCGCGGUAAUAC
rnacentral:rRNA from 1 species